rnacentral:rRNA from 1 species
GGGCCCGCACAAGCGGUGGAGUAUGUGGUUUAAUUCGAUGCAACGCGAAGAACCUUACCAGGGUUUGACAUCCUGCGAACCUCUUGGAAACAGGAGGGUGCCUUCGGGAACGCAGUGACAGGUGGUGCAUGGCUGUCGUCAGCUCGUGUCGUGAGAUGUUGGGUUAAGUCCCGCAACGAGCGCAACCCACGUCUUUAGUUGCCAGCAUUUAGUUGGGCACUCUAGAGAGACCGCCGGUGAUAAACCGGAGGAAGGCGGGGAUGACGUCAAGUCCUCAUGGCCCUUACACGCGGGGCUACACACGUGCUACAAUGGCAGUGACAAUGGGAUAAUCCCAAAAAGCUGUCUCAGUUCAGAUUGUCCUCUGCAACUCGAGGGCAUGAAGUUGGAAUCGCUAGUAAUCG